rnacentral:tRNA from 1 species
GCAACUUUGGCCGAGUUGGUUAAGGCGCCAGACUCAAGAGUUUUCCUCUUUCACUAAUUUAUGUGUGAGCAUUCUGGUCACGAAAGUGGCGUGGGUUCGAAUCCCACAGGUUGCA